GAGGAAUAUUGGUCAAUGGACGCAAGUCUGAACCAGCCACGUCGCGUGAAGGAAGACGGCCCUACGGGUUGUAAACUUCUUUUAUACGGGAAUAAAGUGCCCCACGUGUGGGGUUUUGCAUGUACCGUAUGAAUAAGGAUCGGCUAACUCCGUGCCAGCAGCCGCGGUAAUACGGAGGAUCCGAGCGUUAUCCGGAUUUAUUGGGUUUAAAGGGUGCUCAGGCGGGGGGUUAAGUCGGCGGUGAAAUUUUGCAGCUCAACUGUAAAAGUGCCUUCGAAACUGGUUCCCUUGAGUGCGGAUGAGGUAGGCGGAAUUUGUGGUGUAGCGGUGAAAUGCAUAGAUAUCACGAGGAACUCCGAUUGCGCAGGCAGCUUACCAAGCCGUAACUGACGCUCAAGCACGAAGGCGUGGGGAUCAAACA
rnacentral:rRNA from 1 species